GUUCCUCCCAGCACAGAGCUGAAAACUCCAGAGCUUCCUCCAACAUGCUGCUGAUCCUGCUCUCAGGGGCCUUGCUGGCCCUUAGCUCAGUUCAAGGCCCAGUUUCAGAAGGCAGCAAUCAAGACUCUCUCAACCCCAUAUCCAGUGGAAAACUCAAACUCGAAUGAGGACUUUCCCAGACCACCUCAUGGAGGACCACCACCUAGACCCCACCCCCUCCUAAUGGUGAGAACCAAGAUGAUAAACCUCAGGAGAGACCACCUGCACAAGGUGAUAAACCUCAACAGGGACCACAGUCACAAGAAGGUGAGCCUCAGCAGGGACCACCUUCACAAGAUGGUGAGCCUCAGCAGGGACCACCCCCACCAAGAGUCCUCGUCAUCGCCAUUCUCCUCCAACCCCUCCUAGGAGGAAUCAGGGGCCACCUCCAAAAGGUGGUCAGCCUCAAUGGGGACAGCCUCCACAGGAAGGUCAAUCUCAACAGAGACAACCCUCACAAGCAGGUCAAUCUCAACAGGGACAGCCCACACAAGAUCAGCCUCAACGGGGACAACUCCCACAUGAAAGUCAAUCUCAACAGGAACCAGCCUCUCAAGAUGGUGAACCUCAGCAGGGACUGAACCUCUCCUCCAUCUCUCCUCCACCUCCUCCUGGGAGAAUCAGGGACCACCACCACAAGAUGGUCAACCUCAACAGGAACUAGCCCCACAAGAAGGUCAACCUCAGCAGAGACCACCCCCACCAAGAGGUCCUCCUAAUGGUCGUUCUCCUCCACCUCCUCCUGGGAGGAAUCAGAGACCUCCACCCCCAGAGCAUGGACCACAAAUCAGUUCUAAUGAGAUGGAUGAAACUGGAGCCCAUUAUACAGAGUGAAGUAAGUCAGAAAGAUAAAGACCAUUACAGUAUACUAACACAUAUAUAUGGAAUUU